UCUUCCCCCAUAACUUUUCCGCUUCGUUUCUCCAAUCUCUGAGUUCGAGUUUUGCGUAACCUUUAAACUCUUCUUCAAUUUUUCUUUCUACCUCCCUAUGAUUCUUUAUCUUUCAAAUCCAGACGUUUCAUGAUUUUAUCAUUCACUUGCUAUAAAUUAGGACCAUACCCACGAACCCUCACCACCCCAAACCAAGUCCUUUGCAGUUCUUAUUUUUCUAUUCCUUUUCCGUCAUGGCUUACGUCGAUUUUGUCACAGCAUACUUUACAGUCGAUCUUUACCGUUGUUUUCUCAAGAGAUUGUCUGGGACUCAUCCAUCACUGGGAUUAUUAGGUUUGUAAUCUACCUUGCCUGUUCAAUCGCUAUUAAUCUCGAUACCAAGAGCUUCUCGCGGAUAAACAUGUUCUGAUUGCAUCGCCUCCAAAGAAAAUACUCUGAAAAUACUCAGGAGCUGGAAGAGGAACUGAAGCUUCUCAGCCAAAUAUAGUUGUAAGAAAUUAAAGCUUUCUGUAUUUCUUACAAUGUCCGGUACACCCACUACGUAUUUGUUUCUUUUAUAUCAUGAAGCCUGAAAACAAUAAGUUGUGAUUGGUUUCUUUUAUAUCAUGAAGCCUGAAAACAAUAAGAGAGGGAGAGGGAGAGGGAGAGGGAGCAGGUAAUAUUGGAUGUUAUCAGCGAGGAAGCUGGAGCAUUGGCCACUGCUGACGGAACCAAGAGCUUCAACUCAAGUAUCAUUUAAACUAAUGCUCUUCAGGAUUUUUUAAAGAAAGAUUGUUUUAAAAAAAUCCAUCUGUUGCAGCAGUGUCAGUUGUGGUUGUUAUAGAUAAGAGUGAUGGUAAGAAGUAAUAGAAAUAGUUUAGAAGGAUCUUCUGUUAACAACGGUAUCAUUGUCUCGGGGAUUGCUCGAAAGCUUCCUCCACUGUGUCGUCCACGCAAACAAUCGUUAACCUCUUCGGGUUCGAGGAGGAAGUUGAUGUCUGCGUUUGAUUAUGAGAGGUUAAAGAUUUAGAACGAAGUGGAACAGUUGAGAGAAAGCUUAAAAGUUGUUCAAGAGGAAAGAAAAGAGCUUACAAGACGAGCAUCUUUGCCUCCUUUGUCAUCAAAGGUUAGGGUUACGUCAAAGAAUCGAGGUUCGAGAAGAUCUUCCAUGGAUCUUCACUCUUCUUGAAACUUUUUAGACAUAUGUUUUUUUUUGAGCAAAAUUUAGACAUAUGUUUGUGUGUAUAGUUCUGAUGAUUAUGUGUUUGUAUAUCACUUUUAUGGUGAUACUGUAAUACCAUCAAAAAUCAUAGUUUUGGUUGCUUUAUGCUAUUACCAUCUUCUCAACUUUUUGAUGUAAGACAAAUCUUUUGAAUAUUUGGAAGAAAUAUUUUUCUUAUAA